CCUCGCCAACCCGGUCAGAUCCGGAAGGAAGCAGCCGCAACGAGACCCACUUGGGUCGUUAUCAGCCUCU
rnacentral:SRP_RNA from 13 species